CAGGGAUACAGCUCUGAUCCACAAAGAUACUGGGGAGAUGUCUCAGCAAAAAAAUAAAGAAGAGAGAUUUUUAUUUAUUUUUGAGAGAAAGAGCGCUAGCGAGGGAGAGGCAAAGAGAGAGGAGGACAGAGGAUCUGAAGCAGGCUCUACGCUGACAGCAGAGAACCCAACGCGGGGUUGGAAUUCAUGAACUUUUGGCUUUCAGACACAGCCAGAGACCCUACGAGGGUCAAAGAGAACACUUUCCUCCCCUACCGGAACAGCAAGCAUAGUGUGUGUGGACCAGAAGGAGACCAGAGAACGAUUUGCAAUGAUAACUCAAGUAGAGAAAGCAACAACAGUGGUCCUAAGCGGCUAUGGCUUCUGUCGCCUAACAGCUUGAGAGUCUUGGCAAAGAGAGAGACAGAGCAUGAACGGGAGAGGGGCAGAGAGAGAGGGAGACACAGAAUCCGAAGCAGGCUCCAGGCUCCGUCCAAGCUGUCAGCACAGAGCCCGACGCAGGGCUCGAACUCAGGAACAGUGAGAUCAAGACCUGAGAGGAAGUCGGAUGCUUCACCGAGGGAGCCACCCAGAUGCCCCAAAGGGCGAUUAAUUUGUGAAGAAAGGAUAAAACAAAGGAAAAAAAGGGCUUGAGUUUCUAGGAGUGGUAAAUUGUGAGAAGGUAAACGUAUGGGGGAAACUAAUGGCGAAUAAGGGUUACUUUAGUCAGGUUUGUUUGUGCAGACCCAUCUCGGUGCUGUACCCCUCUUACGGUGUCCAGUGAUUAAAAGUCUGUUGUCCUUUUCCUGGUAUGGGAGAGGGGAGGAGGACACCUUCACAAAGGGAAAUUGAUGCCCUAAUUUUAGGCAGAUAGGGAGAGGGGAAGGAUAGAGAGCUUUUCUGGCAUCUGCUGUUUCUUUCCUUCUUAUUUUAAGUUUGUUUACAGAGAGAGAGAGGGAAAGAGAGAGAUUGAGAUUGAGAUUGAGAGAUUCCCAAGCAGGCUUCAUGCUGCCAAUGCAGAGCCCGACUCAGGGCUCAACCUGACAAACAUGAGAUCAUGACCUGAGCCAAAAUCAAGACUGGGACACCUAACCAACUGAGCCACCCAGGCACUCUGCAUCAGCUGUUUCUAAACGGCCAUCAGCUCAAAAUAAUUCUUAGGCCAAAGUGGCAUAUUUUGUAGUGGUCUAUUCUGAUGACGUUCAAAUGCAUCCCUCAUGAAACCUGAAUUCAUAUACCUGGAUCUGUACUUCUUUGCACAAAUAUAACAACCUCUAAAGGAUUAAUAGAUAUUGCCC